UACAGGGGGGGCAAGCGUUGUUCGGAAUUACUGGGCGUAAAGGGCUCGUAGGCGGCCAACUAAGUCCGACGUGAAAUCCCCAAGCUUAACUUGGGAACUGCGUCGGAUACUGGAUGGCUUGAAUUCGGGAGAGGGAUGCAGAAUUCCGAGGUGUAGCGGUGAAAUGCGUAGAUAUCUGGAGGAAUACCGGUGGCGAAGGCGGCAUCCUGGACCGACAUUGACGCUGAGGAGCGAAAGCUAGGGGAGCAAACAGGGAUUAAGAUACCCUGG
rnacentral:rRNA from 1 species